rnacentral:rRNA from 1 species
AGCGAACGCUGGCGGCAGGCUUAACACAUGCAAGUCGAGCGGGCACCUUUCGGGGUGUCAGCGGCGGACGGGUGAGUAACGCGUGGGAACGUGCCCUCUGGUUCGGAAUAACUCAGGGAAACUUGAGCUAAUACCGGAUACGCCCUUUUGGGGAAGGGCUUGCUGCCGGAGGAUCGGCCCGCGUCUGAUUAGCUAGUUGGUGAGGUAACGGCUCACCAAGGCGACGAUCAGUAGCUGGUCUGAGAGGAUGAUCAGCCACACUGGGACUGAGACACGGCCCAGACUCCUACGGGAGGCAGCAGUGGGGAAUAUUGGACAAUGGGCGCAAGCCUGAUCCAGCCAUGCCGCGUGAGUGAUGAAGGCCUUAGGGUUGUAAAGCUCUUUUAUCCGGGACGAUAAUGACGGUACCGGAGGAAUAAGCCCCGGCUAACUUCGUG